GAUGAACGCUGGCGGCAUGCCUAACACAUGCAAGUCGAUCGGUAAGGCUCUUCGGAGUACACGAGAGGCGGACGGCGGAGUAACGCGUAGGAACACACCCUGCAGUGAGGGAUAAGACACCGAAAGGUGUUCUAAUACCGCAUACGGUCUUCGGAUUAAAGCAUUUAUGCGCUGAAGGAGUGGCCUGCGUCAUAUUAGAUAGUUGGGGAGGUAAUGGCUCACCAAGUCGAUGAUGUGUAGCUGGUCUGAGAGGAUGAUCAGCCAGACUGGAACUGAGACACGGUCCAGACUCCUACGGGAGGCAGCAGUGAGGAAUAUUUCACAAUGAGCGAAAGCUUGAUGGAGCAAUGCCGCGUGCAGGAUGAAGGCCCUCGGGUUGUAAACUGCUUUUAUAAGAGAAGAUUAUGACGGUAACUUAUGAAUAAGGGACGGCUAACUACGUG
rnacentral:rRNA from 1 species